rnacentral:pre_miRNA from 1 species
AAAAUGACAAACCCUGGGUUUCCGUGUCCAACGUUUGACUGUCUGUCUUAUAUGAAUUUUUUUUAUAAUUAGUAUUUUCAUUGUUGUUAGAUGAUAAAACAUGAUUAAUACUUUAUGCGUGACUUGUCUUUUUAAUUUUUUUCAUAUUUUUUUCAAAUAAGACGGACGGUCAAAUGUUGGACACGGAAACCCAGAGUUUGUCUUUUU